CCCUGGCUCAGGACGAACGCAGGCGGCGUGCCUAAUACAUGCAAGUCGAGCGGAGCACUUCGGUGCUUAGCGGCGGACGGGUGAGUAACACGUAGGUAACCUGCCUAUAAGACUGGGAUAACUAUCGGAAACGAUAGCUAAGACCGGAUAACUGGUUUUCUCGCAUGAGAGAAUCAUGAAACACGGAGUAAUCUGUGGCUUAUAGAUGGGCCUGCGGCGCAUUAGCUAGUUGGUAGGGUAACGGCCUACCAAGGCGACGAUGCGUAGCCGACCUGAGAGGGUGAACGGCCACACUGGGACUGAGACACGGCCCAGACUCCUACGGGAGGCAGCAGUAGGGAAUCUUCCGCAAUGGACGCAAGUCUGACGGAGCAACGCCGCGUGAGUGAUGAAGGUUUUCGGAUCGUAAAGCUCUGUUGCCCUAGACGAACAGCAAGGCGAGUAACUGCGCUUUGUGUGACGGUAUAGGAGAAGAAAGCCCCGGCUA
rnacentral:rRNA from 1 species